CGAGGCGCCAGGCUCCGUCCGUCUCUCUCAAAGAGUCGGCCAUGGAGCGAAGGUUUACAAGAGUCACAGGGAAAUUUGUGAAGACGAGGAAAAAACUGAGAGACUCCAUCAGACCUUCAUCUUGUGAAACCUGCCACUGCAGCUCAUCUACUGAACGCUCCCCGGCGUGUUUUCCCUCUCGCCUGCAUCUAGUCGGGUUAUUCCCUCAGGGCUUUGGAAUCUGACACUCGACCAGACAAACGGAGGCGUAACAAGUCUCCCUGCUGAGUGACCAGUAAUGCAGCGAGAAGCUGUCGCCUCGCACCAACUGCAGGCUUUUAUCAUUCUGCAGCUCUUCACCAACACACCUCCACAGCCGCACUGAUGAUAACAGCAGUCUGAAAACAACAGCUACCUCUGCAAAAUAUUCAAGACAGGGAAACUUCCUGGAGUAGAACAGCUAGAGGAUUUUAUUAUUUUUAUUUAUUUAUUUGUCUAGUAAAAGUGCUCGAUUCGGUUUAUCACAUUUUUUAAUGCUAUAAUAAAAACUGUAGUGCAUUGUGGGGGAUUUAUUUGUAAUAGACCAACAGAAAUUACCAUAUGAUUGGUUUGUGAAUGGGAAAAUUGCAUUUAAUGAGCAGAAAAAUCUUUUCGGAUCUUUAUCUGUUCACUUUAAACAUCUAGAGAUUAACUUUUUUUCUUUCAAAAUAGCUCAAACUCAGAUAUUUUAUCUUCCAUGAUUGCCUUUUAUACUUCCAUUUGUGUCUUGCUUCUAAA